rnacentral:rRNA from 1 species
AUGAGCUGCUUCUCAUGCUUCAAGCCACAGCAGGCGGACGGCGACGACGAGGGGGAGGACAAGGCUCCGGCGGUCGGGCCACUCCCGUCCUCGGGCUCCAUCAAGCGGCUCGGCUCCCGGCGAAGAAGCCUGCGCUCCUCCUCCUCCACCAAGUCCGGCGGCAGCUUCGCGGCCAGCCGGCAGCCCAGCACGCGGCCCAGCAACAUCACCAGCUGCAGCGCGCGCGCCUUCACCUACGACCAGCUCGCCGACGCCACCGGCAACUUCCGCGCCGACUGCCUGCUCGGCGAGGGCGGCUUCGGCCGCGUCUACCGGGGGCGCCUGGACGACGGCCAGCUGGUGGCGGUGAAGCAGCUGGACCUGGAGGGCCUGCAGGGCGACCGCGAGUUCGUGGUGGAGGUGCUCAUGCUCAGCCUCCUCCACCACCACAACCUCGUCAGCCUCGUCGGCUACUGCUCCCACGGCCACCAGCGGCUGCUCGUCUACGAGUACAUGGCGCUCGGCUCCCUCGCCGACCACCUCCUCCUCCUCGACGACCGCUUCGCCGGCGAGGGUACCCCGAGGGCGAGGGCGUCGCCGGCCGCGCUGAGCUGGGAGACGCGGAUGCGGGUGGCGCUGGGCGCCGCGAGGGGGCUCGAGUACCUCCACGAGACGGCCAACCCGGCCGUCAUCUACCGCGACCUCAAGUCCUCCAACGUCCUCCUCGACGACGCCUUCUGCCCCAAGCUCUCCGACUUCGGCCUCGCCCGCCUCUGCAGCACCUCCUCCUCCGGCGCCGGCCCCGGCGAGCGCUCCCCGCGCGUCAUGGGCACCUACGGCUACUGUGCGCCCGAGUACAUCCGCACCGGCCGCCUCAGCGUCAAGUCCGACGUCUACAGCUUCGGCGUGCUCCUGCUCGAGCUCAUCACGGGCCGCCGGGCCGUCGACUCGGCGCGCCCGGCGCCGGAGCAGGUGCUCGUCACAUGGGCCGCGCCCAUGUUCAAGGACAGCAAGCGCUACCGCGAGCUGGCCGACCCGCUGCUCCGCGGCGACUUCCCCGAGCGCGACCUCAACCAGGCCGUCGCCGUGGCCGCCAUGUGCCUGCAGGACCAGGCGUCCGCCAGGCCGUGCAUGAGCGACGCCGCCGUCACGCUCUCCUUCCUCGCCGAGGCCGCCGCCGCCAGCGCCGCGCAGCCGCUACCGUUGCCCCCGCCCCAGCUGCAGGCCGAUGAAAACUUGCGAGAAGAAGAAGCCUAG